rnacentral:rRNA from 1 species
UACGUAGGGUGCAAGCGUUGUCCGGAAUUAUUGGGCGUAAAGGGCUCGUAGGCGGUCCAUCGCGUCGGGAGUGAAAAGCUGGGGCUUAACCCCAGUCCUGCUUCCGAUACGGGUGGACUAGAGGUAGGUAGGGGAGAACGGAAUUCCUGGUGUAGCGGUGAAAUGCGCAGAUAUCAGGAGGAACACCGGUGGCGAAGGCGGUUCUCUGGGCUGUACCUGACGCUGAGGAGCGAAAGCAUGGGGAGCAAACAGG